UAUGUGCCAGUGUGUUAUUGUAAUAUAAAAAAACUAUGGAUAGUGAUGCCGAGUGACAGUGAUUUGAAACACAUACAGGUCGACAAAACCUUAUAAAAUCCGUUUUCGAUGGAUUAUUAGAUAGAUUCGAUUUUUUUACUGCUACGAAAAUUCAUGUGAAUGAAAUGAAAAUGAUUUGGCAUGACAACGGUGAAACUAUGAGAGCUAAUUUUUCACCCGAUGAAUUGGCACGAAUGAAUCAAGAAGGCAUAGAUUUAAAACAAUUUGAGAAAAUCACCAAGAAAAUUUGCAAAGACAAUGACCAAGAC